rnacentral:rRNA from 1 species
AGAGUUUGAUCCUGGCUCAGGAUGAACGCUAGCUACAGGCUUAACACAUGCAAGUCAGGGGCAGCAUUUCAGUUUGCUUGCAAACUGGAGAUGGCGACCGGCGCACGGGUGAGUAACACGUAUCCAACCUGCCGAUAACUCGGGGAUAGCCUUUCGUAAAGAAAGAUUAAUACCCGAUGGUAUAAUCAGACCGCAUGGUCUUGUUAUUAAAGAAUUUCGGGUUAUCGAUGGGGAUGCGUUCCAUUAGGCAGUUGGUGAGGUAACGGCUCACCAAACCUUCGAUGGAUAGGGGUUCUGAGAGGAAGGUCCCCCACAUUGGAACUGAGACACGGUCCAAACUCCUACGGGAGGCAGCA